UACGGAGGGUGCAAGCGUUAUCCGGAUUCACUGGGUUUAAAGGGUGCGUAGGCGGCUUGAUAAGUCAUUGGUGAAAGCUCGCAGCUUAACUGCGAAACCGCCAUUGAAACUGUCAAGCUUGAAUGUGGUUGAAGUGGGCGGAAUACAACAUGUAGCGGUGAAAUGCUUAGAUAUGUUUUAGAACACCGAUUGCGAAGGCAGCUCACUAAGCCAAUAUUGACGCUGAGGCACGAAAGCGUGGGUAGCGAACAGG
rnacentral:rRNA from 1 species